rnacentral:rRNA from 1 species
UACGUAGGGGGGCAAGCGUUGUCCGGAAUCAUUGGGCGUAAAGAGCGUGUAGGCGGCCCGGUAAGUCCGCUGUGAAAGUCCAGGGCUCAACCCUGGGAUGCCGGUGGAUACUGUCGGGCUCGAGUCCGGAAGAGGAGUGUGGAAUUCCUGGUGUAGCGGUGAAAUGCGCAGAUAUCAGGAGGAACACCGGUGGCGAAGGCGGCCCCCUGGGCCGAACCUGACGCCUGAGGCGCGAAGGCUAGGGGAGCGAACGGG